ensembl:lncRNA
UGGUCAGUCACUAGCCAGGUUUCCAUCCAAUUCGUGACAUAUUUUCAUGUGAAUACUCAUAAAGAAAACAUGCACAUUUUCCACCAGUGUUUCCACCAAAUUGACUUGUUUUUUCUCAUUACAAAAAUGCACUUUUUCGCUUAAGUUUUCAUGUAUCAGGCAAAUAUCUAUAAUAUAUAUUAUAUUCAUCGUAUUAGUUUACAUCAAUAUUUUUACCACCAUUUAUCACAUAAUUAUUUUUACCAACACAAAAAAGAUCUCACCAUUUUGUACGGAACAAAUGAUCUAUUGGCGUGUUCAUGAAAACGGUCCGCAAACUUCCUGUUUCCUUUACGGCUGUUAGUUUUGUUAUUUACUGUAUGACGUAUAUAUCAUGAAAAUCAAAUCAAAUGAAAUGUAUUUAUAUAGCCCUAAGAACAUCAGCUGAUAUCUCAAAGUGCUCUACAGAAACUCAGCCUAAAACCCCAAACAGCAUGCAAUGCAGGUGUAGAAGCACGGUGGCUAGGAAAAACUCCCUAGAAAGGCCAAAACCUAGGAAGAAACCUAGAGAGGAACCAGGCUAUGUGGGGUGGCCAGUCCUCUUCUGGCUGUGCCGGGUGGAGAUUAUAACAGAACAUGUCCAAGAUGUUCAAAUGUUCAUAAAUGACCAGCAUGGUCCAAUAAUAAUAAGGCAGAACAGUUGAAACUGGAGCAGCAGCACGGCCAGGUGGACUGGGGACAGCUGAGCAGGUGUUGCUAAUGUUUUCUACACUCGGUGUAUAUGCUGUCAACUAUGUCAAAAUAAGAAAACGAUAGUCAUGUUUUGGCUGUAAUGUUUUCGUUACAGCACCAAGUACUCUAUGUCAUCAAUGAAAACCACCCAUUGUAUCCAGAGGUGUAAAGUAUUUAAGUAAAAACACUUUAAAGUACUAAUUAAGUAUUUUUUUUUUGGGGGGGGGGGUUGUACUUUACUAUUUAUAUUUGUUGACUACUUUUACUUCACUACAUUCCUAAAGAAAAUAAUGUACUUUUUACUCUUUACAUUUUCCCUGACAGCCAACAUAAUUUGUUACAUUACACUAAGUUUGUAAAUGAUGUAUGAGUUUUGGUAUGUGCCCCUGGUUAUCCAUAAAUUAAAACAGAAAAAAAAAAGAAAAUGGUGCCGUCUGUUUUGCUUAAUAUAAGG